CGGAAAUAAGGAAGGGUUAUAUAUAUCUCCCCCGGGUAAAAUAAUUCAAUAAGCGGAGGAAAAGAAACCAACCGGGAUUGCCUCAGUAACGGCGAGUGAAGCGGCAAGAGCUCAAAUUUGAAAUCUGGCCCCUCCGGGGUCCGAGUUGUAAUUUGCAGAGGAUGCUUCGGGUGCGGCCCCUGUCUAAGUGCCCUGGAACGGGCCGUCAGAGAGGGUGAGAAUCCCGUCUUGGGCAGGGUGCCCGUGCCCGUGUGAAGCUCCUUCGACGAGUCGAGUUGUUUGGGAAUGCAGCUCAAAAUGGGUGGUAAAUUUCAUCUAAAGCUAAAUACCGGCCGGAGACCGAUAGCGCACAAGUAGAGUGAUCGAAAGAUGAAAAGCACUUUGAAAAGAGAGUUAAACAGCACGUGAAAUUGUUGAAAGGGAAGCGCUUGCAACCAGACUCGGCCUCGGGGUUCAGCCAGCAUUCGUGCUGGUGUACUUCCCCGGGGCCGGGCCAGCGUCGGUUUGGGCGGCCGGUCAAAGGCCCCAGGAAUGUAUCGUCCUCCGGGACGUCUUAUAGCCUGGGGUGCAAUGCGGCCAGCCUGGACCGAGGAACGCGCUUCGGCACGGACGCUGGCGUAAUGGUCGCAAACGACCCGUCUUGAAACACGGACCAAGGAGUCUAACAUCUACGCGAGUGUUCGGGUGUCAAACCCGUACGCGCAGUGAAAGCGAACGGAGGUGGGAGCCCCCCCGGGGCGCACCAUCGACCGAUCCUGAUGUCUUCGGAUGGAUUUGAGUACGAGCGUAGCUGUGGGGACCCGAAAGAUGGUGAACUAUGCCUGAAUAGGGUGAAGCCAGAGGAAACUCUGGUGGAGGCUCGCAGCGGUUCUGACGUGCAAAUCGAUCGUCAAAUUUGGGUAUAGGGGCGAAAGACUAAUCGAAUACUCCAGUUGCC
rnacentral:rRNA from 1 species